rnacentral:rRNA from 1 species
AGAGUUUGAUCCUGGCUCAGAUUGAACGCUGGCGGCAGGCUUAACACAUGCAAGUCGAGCGGAAACGAUGGUAGCUUGCUACCAGGCGUCGAGCGGCGGACGGGUGAGUAAUACUUAGGAAUCUACCUAGUAGUGGGGGAUAGCACGGGGAAACUCGUAUUAAUACCGCAUACGACCUACGGGAGAAAGGGGGCAGUUUACUGCUCUCGCUAUUAGAUGAGCCUAAGUCGGAUUAGCUAGAUGGUGGGGUAAAGGCCUACCAUGGCGACGAUCUGUAGCUGGUCUGAGAGGAUGAUCAGCCCCCCCCGGGACUGAGACACGGCCCGGACUCCUACGGGAGGCAGCAGUGGGGAAUAUUGGACAAUGGGGGAAACCCUGAU